AUUAAAAUUUGGUAAUAAAAUCUAUCAUACUUGAUUGGUUCUAUUUUACAGCAUAACCUUCCUCUCACUGGCGAUGGGACAUUUAUAGCUGCCAUUGAACAGAAUUUGAUAGUUUUUCACUUUUUUGUCUACAUUUUGUCAUGUGUGGAGACUUCAUCAAACUUCUGAGACAAUGUGACUCAAAGUUUUGUCCUUCAGCUGACACAGAAAGAAUUUGUAUCAUUUUUCAUUGGAUCUUAUCUCCAGAUGUACAGCAUAUUCCUAAGGCCUCAGGGGAGACAAAACUUCAUGGAUACUGUUGAUCAGAAUACUUCAGUUUGGAAUGCAGGUUCCUUUUUUUUACAAGUACCACUCUUUGGAUAAUUUCUUUUAAUAUCUCUGCAAUAUUACUGAAGGCUUAAGCACUACUGCAACUUUAAUAUUUACAAUACAUGCAGGCUCAGGUUGUUUGCUGAUCUCCGUCAACUCCCACUUCUUGUAUAGGCGUAACUCCCGCUCCGUCUCCCACUUUUAUCUGGUCCCUUUACCUGUACAUGUUUACUAGUACAUGAAUUUUAGUCAAAUUGUGAAUUACUGCAUAAUUAUGAAUUCGUGACCAGUGCCAUUGAGCAUUUAGCAUAAUGAUCCUAUUAUAUAUUUAUUUAUUUAUUCAUUCAUCUAUUUAACAUGUUGACAGAAUGUGAUGGUGAAUUAUUAUCAGUUAGUAGUAUAUUUAUACUUUAUUGUUCUCAUCUCUCUCCUCCUAUCCUUUCUUUCAUUUUCUCUCUCGUAGGAGCUGGUAGCUUUAAAAGACUCUCAUGUAUUUAAUGAGUGGUUAUCAUUAUUCAUUAGUGAUAUUAUUAAGUUGAUCCUAAGAUGAAGAAAGCUGGAUUACUAAGACACACAAAUUAGCAGCAGAAGCAUUGUGGAGAAAAGACAGUGUUUUGAUGCUCAUAUGGAUUCUCCUAUACCUGGUCUACAGUAUGUGAUGGGUACUGAUACUGAUCCUGAACUAUAUGAUACAAUAGUAAUGGCUAAUCUUGUAAGUACAUUAUACUAUACACACAAUAGUGUAGCGUAUGA